rnacentral:rRNA from 1 species
UACGAAGGGGGCUAGCGUUGUUCGGAUUUACUGGGCGUAAAGCGCACGUCGGCGGAUUGGUCAGUUAGGGGUGAAAUCCUGGAGCUCAACUCCAGAACUGCCUUUAAUACUGCCAGUCUCGAGUCCGGAAGAGGUAAGUGGAACUCCUAGUGUAGAGGUGGAAUUCGUAGAUAUUAGGAAGAACACCAGUGGCGAAGGCGGCUUACUGGUCCGGUACUGACGCUGAGGUGCGAAAGCGUGGGGAGCAAACGGG